rnacentral:rRNA from 1 species
GCAGAGAUGCUUUUGGUGCCUUCGGGAACUCUGAGACAGGUGCUGCAUGGCUGUCGUCAGCUCGUGUUGUGAAAUGUUGGGUUAAGUCCCGCAACGAGCGCAACCCUUAUCCUUUGUUGCCAGCGGUUAGGCCGGGAACUCAAAGGAGACUGCCAGUGAUAAACUGGAGGAAGGUGGGGAUGACGUCAAGUCAUCAUGGCCCUUACGAGUAGGGCUACACACGUGCUACAAUGGCGCAUACAAAGAGAAGCGACCUCGCGAGAGCAAGCGGACCUCAUAAAGUGCGUCGUAGUCCGGAUUGGAGUCUGCAACUCGACUCCAUGAAGUCGGAAUCGCUAGUAAUCGUGGAUCAGAAUGCCACGGUGAAUACGUUCCCGGGCCUUGUACACACCGCCCGUCACACCAUGGGAGUGGGUUGCAAAAGAAGUAGGUAGCUUAACCUUCGGGAGGGCGCUUACCACUUUGUGAUUCAUGACUGGGGUGAAGUCGUAACAAGGUAGGCGUAGUGCU